CAGCUCGCCCCCCGGAGCAGUACGUUCAACUCCCAAGAACCCCAUAACAUCCUGCCACUGGCAUCCAGUCAGAUCAGGUAAAGGCUGCCAAGAGGCUUCUGCGGGGCACUUCGGGAGGCCAAGGUGGACGGAUCACGUCAGGAGAUCGAGACCAUCCUGGCUAACAUGGUUUGGACUUCUCCCACUGAGCAUGACAAGCACUCGAAAGGCUAAAUCAACCAGAAACAUCGAAACAAAAGCUCAGGUUGUCCCCCCGGCACGCUCCACAGCUGGUGACCCGACAGUUCCUGGCUCCUUGUUCAGACAGCUUGUCAGUGAAGAAGACAACACGUCUGCACCUUCAUUAUUCAAACUUGGCUGGCUCUCUAGUAUGACUAAGUAACAUGGCAACACAUCUGUCUCUCCCUAAAUAAAUACUACCACAUUAUUUCUUCUAAA
rnacentral:lncRNA from 1 species